AUGGUGAUGGGAUACUCUCCCGCUGAGUCAGUGGCCAUCGCCAAUAGACUUAAUUGCCGCCUGGGCUCGUUCCCCACUACCUACCUUGGGAUGCCCAUCAGUGACUCACGCCUCUUGGCCGCCGAUCUUCGCCCCUCCGUGACCAAGCUCCAGACUAGAUGCGAGCCCUGGCAGGGGAGGUGGCUCUCCAAGGCGGCCUGGACUAUUCUUAUCAACUCCUCCCUCUCCAGCCUCCUCUUAUUUCUUAUGAGUUUCUACAGUCUCCACGAAUCUCUCCAUAAGGAGAUCGCCAAAAUCCAGUCCCGCUUCUAUUGGGCUGGCAAGCACGGCAAGCAGAAGUAUCACAUGGUCAGCUGGCCUGACAUCUGCAAGCCUCGGGAGCAGGGUGGAUUGGGUAUCAUGUGCUCUAAGCGGAUGAAUAUUGCCCUCCUAUCCCGGUGGCUGUGGCGCAUCUCGCAGGGUCAGGGUGGCCUAUGGCUGGACAUUAUCCGGAAUAAAUACCUGCGCGGCCAACCCCUUGCCUUCUGCCAGAAGUCGGGAGGUUCUUAG
rnacentral:rRNA from 1 species